rnacentral:tRNA from 1 species
GGUGUUUUGGCCGAGUGGUUAAGGCGCCAGCUUCAGGUGCUGGUGGGGUAACCCGCGCAGGUUCGAGUCCUGCAGACAUCA